CCUACGGGAGGCAGCAGUGGGGAAUAUUGGGCAAUGGGCGCAAGCCUGACCCAGCAACGCCGCGUGAAGGAAGAAGGCUUUCGGGUUGUAAACUUCUUUUCUGAGGGACGAAGAAAGUGACGGUACCUCAGGAAUAAGCCACGGCUAACUACGUGCCAUCAGCCGCGGUAAUACGUAGGUGGCAAGCGUUAUCCGGAUUUAUUUGGUGUAAAGGGCGUGUAGGCGGGAAAGCAAGUCAGAUGUGAAAACUCAGGGCUCAACCCGGGGCCUGCAUUUGAAACUGUUUUUCUUGAGUGCGGGAGAGGCAAGCGGAAUGCGGGGUGUAGCGGUGAAAUGCGUAGAUAUACGGAGGAACACCAGUGGCGAAGGCAGAUUGCUGGACAGUAACUGACGCUGAGGCGCGAAAGCGUGGGGAGCGAACAGGAUUAGAUACCCGGGUAGUC
rnacentral:rRNA from 1 species